AUUUAUGUACAAUUACGUGUGUAAAUAAAUUAUUUCAGUUAAAGUACAUGAUUAUUUUGUCUCCUUAGUGUGUCCUCCGUCAUCGUUAAAUGUAAAAUCAUCCUCACGAUCCUGAGUUUUCUUCUCCUUUAUCGCUUUCUCCACCGUUGUCAACCAUUUCUUUAUUUGAGUCCAUUCUUCUUUUCCCAGAGUGUCAAUUGUCCAUUCUUCCGGGUCUCUCGGCAUUAAUGUGAGUUCUGAAAGGAUAAAAGUACGUCCAUAUGUUAUUGGUUUCUUUCCAAUAUUCAUCAUACCAUUGGUCCACUUUGAUUUUCAUUUGUCGCUCUAUUGAGUAAAGCGUCUCUGUGGCUGACUCAAUCUGGUUUGGUUGCUGAACCCAUUCUUUAACAAGUGAGGCUUCAUAUCUUUGCCAAUACCAUUGGAUUUCCGUCAGUUCAUGUAAUAUUUUCAAAUACGAUUUAGUGAAUUUACCAUUGGCGUUUAGAUUUGGAACAUAAAAUCUUUCGAAGAUUGUUUGGGCUUUAUAUACCAGAAUGAAUUUCGGAGGAUUCUCUUUUCUUUGCUCAGAAUGCUCGAUCGCAUUUGCGGAGUUGCAAGAAAUGGAUGGAAUCCCUUCACCUUUCUCUUGUCCAUCUCUUCUGUCAUCAGAUAUUCCAUUGGUAAGGUUUUUAUUGAUUUAUCAAAGCCCUCUAACAAAUAUGUUUUCUUCGUGGAUGUUCGAGCUCUGUAUUCAGAUUUUUUAAUUAUCUGAGUUAUCUUUUCUAUGAUCAGUUUGAAUCUUUCUUUGGCCUCAAUUUGAUCCGUUGAAGUUAGUAGGUAGGCUAAAGCGGUAUCUUUUAGUUUCGAUAUAAUUUUAGCAUUUAUAAUAAGUUUUCUUAUUUUUGUCGGCAAAUAUUUGAUAUUCGUUCUUGGUGACCAGGUUGCUAAUAGGUCUUCACCCAUUUUAUUUAUGACUGUUUUUGAUGAUUUUUGCCAACCUAAGAUUGGGACCCCUAGAAUUUUCAAUUUUCCUUGUUUGAUGUCAGCUACACUGUAGAUUUCUGUUUUGUCUCGAUUCAGCUGUAGAUUAAUCUUUGAUAGUUCAUACUCCAUUUGAUCCAGAGUGCUCUUCACAUUAUCCGUAAUGACUAUUAUGUCGUCAGCGAAAGCUCUUAUGAUCGUGUGUGUUGCAAUUUGAUUUAGGAUUUCAUUUAAGGCUAUAAUGAAAAUUAUGGGACCAAUA